GAUCCCAUGGUGUAAUGGUAGCACACCAGGUUUUGACCCUGACAGCGCUCGUUCGAUUCGGGCUGGGAUCAC
rnacentral:tRNA from 1 species